UACGUAGGUGGCAAGCGUUGUCCGGAAUUACUGGGCGUAAAGGGCGUGUAGGCGGCGAUGUAAGUCAGACGUGAAAACUCCGGGCUUAACUUGGAGAUUGCGUUUGAAACUGUAUGGCUAGAGGAUCGGAGAGGGCAGUGGAAUUCCCAGUGUAGCGGUGAAAUGCGUAGAUAUUGGGAGGAACACCAGUGGCGAAGGCGGCUGCCUGGACGACACCUGACGCUGAGGCGCGAAAGCUAGGGGAGCAAACGGG
rnacentral:rRNA from 1 species